AUCUGCUGCAAUAUCAGUGAAGGACAGCAAUGGUACCUUUGUGAGCACAUUGAGUAUGAUCCUUUACAAUGACUCAACCUACAACCAACAACUCUCUAUCCCAAUGGCCGGACUGGCUUUGAAAACCCGAGUGUUUUCUGCAGUGAAAGCCACAAACCUGGACAAACGAUGGAAUAUCUUGAUGGACUACUGUUACACCACUCCCUCAGGGAAUCCCAAUGAUGAACUGCGCUACGACCUUUUCUUUGGGUAAUCACGCUUUUUCUCAAACGAUGCCAAGAUAAAUGACAAAAGUGUCCCAUUACCCAUUCACCCUCAACCACUUAUCAUAGAGCCC